GGUAGAAUGGCCGAGUGGUCUAAGGCGCUUGAUUCAAGUAUUUGGAUAUUUCGACGGUUGCACGUCGAGCACCCAAGUUUUCCUGGGUUCGAACCCCAGUUCUACCA